AAACAAUGCCAUGAGACAAGCUUUGCCAAGACCUGAGGUGACCAAAGCAGAGCUCCUUGCAAGAACUAAACUCUUCUGCAGAUCACAAUGAAACAACAAACAGGCUCCAUCUGGAGACGUUGCAGACUGAACCGGGGACUCUCUGCAUGCAAAAUUGAUGCUCCACCAAAGAGCUACAGCCGUUUCAUCUGCAAGAAUUGCUUUCUCCAGUACUGGAUUUCUGGCAAUCCUGCAGUCAUUCUGCAGGCAAAGAACCAGCCAGCCCACAGCAGUUAUUACCACCACCACCCAGUCAAGGAUCUGCCUGCCAUCUCACACUACGUCAUCUCUCUGGCAACACAAUGUAGGAGAAUCGGGAGUCGGCUGCAGGAAAAGUGCAGCUUGCACAGGAUACCUGGACAGUCUCCAGACCAGUCACAAAGGAAAAGCUUUCUUAUACAUGCUCAGGGGCACU